CACGGCUCAAGUGGCUCUGGAUUUCCUCGCAGACACCUGAGAUCCCAGGCCCGAGAGGAUGAAGGCGGGAUUACCUGGAGCGUGUCUGAAUGCUGGAGGAAGAAGGGCAGCUGGGAGAUGAAGCUGUCAGGAUGGGCCGCAUCCCAUUUCCUGCCUCGUUUCAGUUCAACUUUCCAACAGACCUCCCUGGCUCGUCUUGCUCUUCUCUAAUGGACAAACAAACAGGCUCAGAGAGGUGGUGUGACUUGCCCAAGGUCACUCAGCUUGGAUGCUAUGGAACAGGGACGUCCACUGUCCCAGUCUGUUUAUGGGAAGCCGCUCUGCAACUGUCCUGACCCACCACAUGCCCCACCGCUGUUUCUCUUGCCCUGACCCCUUGUUCCCUGGACCAGGGUGGCACAGCUCCAGGCUCUUGGGCCCUUCCCGAGGGCAGGCACCUGUGACUGUGUCCCCAAAGACCUGAGUGGCUGAGGGGGCCCCACAGAGCUUGGACUUCCUGGAGGACAAGGAGGGGUCUGCCAGCCACCCCCACCACGCCCGCCCCAGGGCUCCCCUGGAGCUUCCAUGCCAGCCGGACUCAGGACCCCUGUGAUCACACUGGCCCCCCCACCGGAUGACCCAGGAUAAUCCAUCUCCCUGUUUGAAGGUCGGCUGAUUAGCAACCUUCAUUCCAUCUGCCUCCUUCAUUCCCCCUGGCCAUGUAAUGGGAUUCACAGCUUCUGGGGAUUAGGACAUGGACAUCUUGUGGCGGGGGCAUAAUUCUGUCGACGACACCAAGAAACACUUGGAUGUUAAGGAUUCACCGAACACUGUUCAGGCUCCAGGUGCUGGGAGCAGCAGUGAACAAAGCCAACAGACACUGCCACCCUCAAGGAGUUCACGUUCAUGGGCGAGGGAACAGAUGAGAAACCCGGCAAUGAAAGUAAGUAGCAUAAUUGACUUGAAAAGUGCCGGGGAGAAAGAGAAGAUGGAUGGAGAAUGACACCUGGCCCCUUCUCUAUUUCUUUAUUUGUUUCACUCUUGUUGCCCAGGCUGGAGUGCAAUGGCACAAUCUCAGCUCACUGCGACCUCUGCCUCCCAGCUUCAAGUGAUUCUGCUGCCUCAGCCUCCCAAGUAGCUUGGAUUACAGGCAUGCACGCCCAGCUCAUUUUUUUUUUUUUUUUUUUUAGUAGAGACGGGGUUUACACCAUGUUGGCCAGGCUGGUCUCAAACUCGUGACCUCAGGUGAUCCACCUGCAUCGGCCUCCCAAAGUGCUGGGAUUACAGGCAUGAGCCACCGUGCCCAGCUCCCCUUCUCUAUUUCUAAGGUGACCCAGAUUCCUUUACUGCUUUCUGGCAAAUCCACCUCUGGCCAGGCAGUAGGCCGGCAACGCAGGGCUUGAAGGCCAUAAUGGGGACGUUUGUCUAAUGGUGAGAAAGGAAACACUGGAAGGUUUUUGCUUCCCUUUUUAAAAAAUU
rnacentral:lncRNA from 1 species